ACAAACUUGGUCAUUUAGAGGAAGUAAAAGUCGUAACAAGGUUUCCGUAGGUGAACCUGCGGAAGGAUCAUUAUCAAUCAUGGUGAGACCUUUUUAAGGAUCUCGCGUAUAUACUUAAAACCCAACUCUGUGAAUCAAAUAAAAUUUUAUUUUUCUAUAAAGUAAAUCUAAUAAGAUCACUUUCAACAACGGAUCUCUUGGCUCUCUUAGAGGAAGUAAAAGUCGUAACAAGGUUUCCGUAGGUGAACCUGCGGAAGGAUCAUUAUCAAUCAUGGUGAGACCUUUUUAAGGAUCUCGCGUAUAUACUUAAAACCCAACUCUGUGAAUCAAAUAAAAUUUUAUUUUUCUAUAAAGUAAAUCUAAUAAGAUCACUUUCAACAACGGAUCUCUUGGCUCUCGCAUCGAUGAAGAACGCAGC
rnacentral:misc_RNA from 1 species